ACCCAUAAAUAGCCGCAGUUUCCUGUGCCAAGGUAGCAUAAUCAAUAGUCUAUUAAUUAUAGAAUAGAAUGAAUGGCAAAACGUGUUUUACUCUAUUACACCAAUAAAACUAAAACCUAUAAAUAAAGUUAAAAUACUUUUCCCCCACAGAAAGACGACAAGACCCUAAUAAACUAAAACUUCUGUUUUACUGGGGCGGUAAACAAACAAUCUCUUAACACCUCUUUCAAUACAACCCCUACCCCCUAUAUACAGUUACUAUAGGGAUAACAGCAUAAUUGUUAUUUCAAGAUCUUAUUUAAAUAACAGCUUAUGACCUCGAUGUUGAAUUAUUUUACCUACUUUAAGCAAAAAUAAACAAAGGGAGUCUGUUCGACUUUUAAAAAUUUACAUGAUUUGAGUUCAGACCGGCUUCAGCCAGGUCGGUUUCUAUCUUCUUUUAAACGCAAUACUCAGUACGAAAGGACCACUACUACAUUUACUAAAAUAGUAAAUUAAUACCUUAGACUUAGAAUCUAACAAACCAGCCUAUUAUUAACACUAUUUUUUCAACUGUCUCAAUCCUUAUCAGCGUUGCUUUCUACACCCUCCUAGAACGAAAAAUACUCAGAUUUAUCCAAACCCGAAAAGGUCCCAACAAAGUUGGUCUUACUGGUAUUCUCCAACCCAUUAGCGACGCCCUAAAACUAUUCAACAAAACCCUUUUCGCCCCCACAAACUCUAACCAAUUUCUAUUCUUCCUAUCUCCCCUUUUAACCUUCCUACUAUGCUUAAUAUUAUGACCCUGUAUUCCCCUAAGAAACUUUAAUAUCAUAGACAGCUCGCUAAACUCACUAAUCAUUAUCCUUCUCUCUAGAGCUGCUGUUUACACUACAAUAAUAUCUGGAUGAACCUCAA
rnacentral:rRNA from 1 species